UACGGAGGGUGCGAGCGUUGUCCGGAAUUAUUGGGCGUAAAGGGUGCGUAGGCGGGUCUUUAAGUCAGGGGUGAAAUCCUGGAGCUCAACUCCAGAACUGCCUUUGAUACUGAGGAUCUUGAGUUCGGGAGAGGUGAGUGGAACUGCGAGUGUAGAGGUGAAAUUCGUAGAUAUUCGCAAGAACACCAGUGGCGAAGGCGGCUCACUGGCCCGAUACUGACGCUGAGGCACGAAAGCGUGGGGAGCAAACAGG
rnacentral:rRNA from 1 species